rnacentral:rRNA from 1 species
GACGAACGCUGGCGGCGUGCUUAACACAUGCAAGUCGAACGGAAAGGCCCUGCUUGCAGGGUACUCGAGUGGCGAACGGGUGAGUAACACGUGGGUGAUCUGCCCUGCACUUCGGGUUAAGCCUGGGAAACUGGGUCUAAUACCGGAUAGGAGCCAUUUUUAGUGUGAUGGUUGGAAAGUUUUUUCGGUGUAGGAUGAGCUCGCGGCCUAUCAGCUUGUUGGUGGGGUAAUGGCCUACCAAGGCGGCGACGGGUAGCCGGCCUGAGAGGGUGGACGGCCACAUUGGGACUGAGAUACGGACCAGACUCCUACGGGAGGCAGCAGUGGGGAAUAUUGCACAAUGGGCGCAAGCCUGAUGCAGCGACGCCGCGUGGGGGAUGACGGCCUUCGGGUUGUAAACUCCUUUCGCUAGGGACGAAGCUUUUGUGACGGUACCUAGAUAAGAAGCACCGGCUAACUACGUG